GUAAAAUUUCAAUAGAGUCCCUAGCUAGCUAGCCAGACUAAUAUACUUUCGCUUCACAACAAUCAACAAAUACGUGUUUUUUAAAUAAUAAAAAAAAAUCAUGUAAAACAAAAACAUAAAAUAUCACACGAGAUCUUCUAGGGGACCCAUUCCCCAGCCCACUUUUUUAUAUUAUGGAUACAUACAUGGGCGCCUCAGCCUGAGGAUCAAAACAAAACAAAAGGUGAACAUGGACAGGGGUGGAAUUGAAAGUUGAAAGCUGACAAUACAACUCUUAAAAUAUAUAGUAUCUUUGAGGGUGGCCAACUAGAGAACAUACAAUUUCCUGUGCAGCAUAAACAGAAUGACUAGUGAGUUCGGGAUUCUUCCCAAAGAAAAGUAAUAUGCGAAUACUGCAAUACGUCACCAUGCCUAACCAAUUCAAUAAACAACUGAAGUGCCUGCCCUUCGAUGGCUCAAGAAAGCGGUGUGUCUGUGUCACUAGCAGCAACAUUUUGUUCACUCUUUAAUGGUGGCAACUCUGAGAUCAACGCCUACUGCGAGCUGCUGAGCCACAGUAGCUUGCCAGUUUGCUUGUGCUUGAAGUCAAGAUCGCUCAUAUAUCUCUUAUCUAAUCUGUUGUCCCACCAUUUACCAGGGUUUUCCACUACGUCUGUCCAUUAUUGAUCCCCUAAAACAAAGACCACCAAAAUAUCUAAAGCAAAACAGAACCACUGACCGAAUAAUCUGAAGACAAAACUUUAGAAUGAGGAUGUUGAUCAUAUAUUAGAUGAUAUUUUCCUUUUCUCAGCUACCCCAAUUUUAGAAAGUAUCAUAAUUAUAUGGAAGAAAAUCAAGUUCAAUGGUUGGUUUAUCAAAUAUCAAAGGGAAAGUAAAAAAUGUAUCCUGUUGUUUUGUUUUUUUUUGUGCUUUGGAAGCCCUUUUUUUUUUUAAUCCACUAAGGUUUUCGUUACCUAUCAUUUUGCUACCAUUUUUAGCUAACAUCAUUAAUAUAUUACAUAUCUAGAUCCUACAUGGCAAAUAAUAAAAUUUGAGUGCUACUCAUAUAACAGACACUUGCACUACCAAGUUGUAUCUCAUCAAUGCCUCAUUAAUGAAUUUAUUUUUUUUACAUGUAGAUAACAUCAAGUAAUAAGAAACAAGAGAGACACAUUUUAUUCUUCCAAGCAUAUGCAAUUACGGUUAAUAAAAUGCCUGAUUGAGUAUUAUGACUUAUUUUACAACACAUGGGUACUAUAUAAAUAUAGUUUCAAAGAUAUCAGCUAAAAUAAUACUUAAGUGUUACAGAUAAAAGUCAAGGUAAUAAAAUGAUACAAAGAAAUCCACAAGAACCAAAGUGAAAAAACUCCAAACCACAAGGUAUGUUUUUGAAAUUUUUCUGAUUCAAAUUACAACAAUACAUUACUCCAGAACAAACUUGUGUAGCUUAAAUAUGUGCGAAACAAUCCCCUCUUAAGGCUGCAAACAAGUCGAACUGUUGUAAGCAACUUGAAACCCACCUCUAGAAAAGCUCGAGCUUUGCAUCCAUGUCAAUGAGCCAAGCAAAAGCUCACUUUUAAGGCUUGUCUAAAAUUCGAUCGGGUUAAUAUAGCUAUUAUAAAAGACAGAAACUUCCACAAAAAAAACGUCCUUUGAUUAUAAUAUUUAAGAAAUAUAAUAUUUAUUUAUUUUUAUUUAUAUUUUUGAAUUAUAAAUUUUAUUAUUCUUGUCCCAUGGAAAUGGGCAAGCUGUCUCAAAAGGAAUGGAGGACAGAAAAAUGAGAAUUGGACAAGACAAGAAUCCCCUUAUAUAGUUAUGUCUUGUCCAAAACAUGCACCAAACACAGGACGUGAGAAUUAUCGUGUCCUAUUCUAUCCACUGAACCAAAUGCACCCUAAAUGUACAAUUUUUUCUUUUGCACCAUAUAGUCUGCAUAACAUACAAUCACAAAACUAGCCCAGUGGCCCCCAAACUCCAAAGUCUACUUUCAAAGAGGGUACUAUGAACUUAAAGCUCCAGAUAAUGGCAGGGAUUGAGGUCUAGGCUCCACUACUUCAAGGCAAAUCAGUGUAAAAGAUGGAGAAUAGGUUACAAUUUUCCAGCAUCAGCCAAAAUUUCCAUAAUGGGUAGUACUUUUAGAUAUUUAUAGAUAAGGGAGUACAACAAUAAGGGAUUAACCUAAACAUUGUAUUUAUGUUUUUUUUUCCUCGAUCAUGCGCAAGAAAGAAAAACGAAAAAAAGAAGCAGGCAACUCCAAGGACAAAGGCACACAACAUAGGGUAAUAUAUGCAUGUCAGGAAAAAAUUCAUACUUUUAAACGGCUUCCCUUGUUUUGAUUUAGGAAUCUUAUGAAACUCCAACUUUUCAAGUUCUGAUAAAAUCCAGCCCGGUGCCCUAUCAAGCCAGAGAGCCACACCACCAUCCUUGCGUUUAAAAUCAGGAUGUCUUGAAUGUGCCAAUCCACUACGCUUAUUGCUGCGGUAAUCCCACCACUGUUUUUGAUUAUCAAGAAGGUCUCUCCAGGAAUUUAAUGCAGAAUCACCAUCUUUGUUAGUACUAGCAUUAUACUUUAAAGGCCCUUCCUGUUGCCUGUGUAAAAAGCCGCCAUCUUGUUGCCAACGCCCAUAGCCUUUUGUAAUUUGAGAAGACACUUGGACAAAGUUCAUAUUAUCUACCAUAAUCCAAACUUGGGCUUGACCCCCAAUUACAUCUAUGGGAGGGGAACCUGAAAUUAGUUCUCCAGCUAUGUAGACAUAAUCACCUUUUUUUAAGUGGCUAGAAGCAACAUGAGCCAAAUUACCUUCAAAUAUUAUUGGAAUUCUGAUAUAUCACAAAAUGAAUAAAUUAAUGAAAUAAUAAUAGCACCUAGCAAAACAAAGUAAAUCAAUUAAAAUUUAUAAGAACAAAAAGAAAAAUUAACCAUAGUAAAUGACUCAAAUUCCCAACUCUACCACAAAUACAUAUAACGUUUCAAGAAAACUAAAAGAAUAAAAAAAAAAUAGAAGUUUAAGAUUUUUAAGGAUAAAAAUUACACUAUAGUAGGAAUUAUUUACAAUAAAUUUUACUAGUACAAAAAAAAGGGAAACUUUUAACACAGACCAAAGGAGAAAAGGAAAGGCAUUUUUUAUCAAAUUAAGAUAUACUUCUAGCAGAAACUAGACAGUCUUUCAAAACUUAAAUGCAACCAAAAAGCACCAAAUUCUAAAAAUUAUAAGUUAUUUCAUUGUUUUAUUAUUAAAUAUUAAUUUAUUCAAGGACAAGAUGGAUUUCAACCAAUGGAAAGAAUCUAGGUUGCAAUGACUCUCUGACACCUCCUACAGUCAAAUUUUUUGAAGCAUCAAAGCUAAAACCUGUUAAACUCCCCACUGCUAAAAUCAAGAGAAAGAAAUUUAAACCAUCACUCCUUAGCACUGUGAAUAUCUAAUUUCACUAAAAAG
rnacentral:misc_RNA from 1 species